rnacentral:pre_miRNA from 1 species
GGGCGGGGGCGGAUCCUGGGCUGUGCCCCGGCGCCCUGUGCUCCGGAGCCUGUGCUGUUGUUGGAUUAGUGCUCCCGGCGGCGCAGCCCCCU